rnacentral:rRNA from 1 species
UACGAAGGGGGCUAGCGUUGCUCGGAAUCACUGGGCGUAAAGCGCACGUAGGCGGAUUGCUAAGUCAGGGGUGAAAUCCUGGAGCUCAACUCCAGAACUGCCUUUGACACUGGCGAUCUUGAGUCCGGGAGAGGUGAGUGGAACUCCGAGUGUAGAGGUGAAAUUCGUAGAUAUUCGGAAGAACACCAGUGGCGAAGGCGGCUCACUGGCCCGGUACUGACGCUGAUGUGCGAAAGCGUGGGGAGCAAACAGG